ensembl:lncRNA
CAGAAAUAGAAAAUUGGAGAUUUAUCUGGAAUUACUUCUUCUAAAUUCCCAGGCUGUGUUUGCAGUUAAGGCAACAAUUCCAAAUGGCAUUAUAUCUGAUUUUCAACUGGAAAAUUGAAGCAGGAUGUGAUCACAGCUACUGCUGCCAACAGCCCUUGCUCUUCACUCUUCAGUGUGCCUCAUCUUGGGGUAGUCACAGAGGAAAUGAGAGCUUUCUUUUAUCUCCAGAGGCUGAUCCCACUUAGACCCUUCCUAUGCCUGGUUUUGCCAUAAAUCCAGAACAAUAAUCCCCGCUAUGCUGAAAUAUUCACAAGGGGAAUAUCACCGCUGUUAUUUAAGGAAUGCCACAAAAAAAGAAGACAUGGAAAUGCAUGGAGCUCAAGUCUCGGGUACGGCUCGCUUGGGGAAGAAAUGCAUUUUCAGAAAACCACUUCCAGCUGAUGAAACAGGAGGUCAGAGUCCUGGCCAAAGUCAGAAGAUGCAGCUGUGUUUGGGAAGAGGCACCUGCAGAUCUGGGGACCUCACCCUGAGAAACCUGGGGGCCAGGGAAGUGUAAGCCUGACUGACACAGUGAAAUACCCAAUGAAGGGAAACACAUCUUCCCUUACUUCAGUGUGGAGGAUUUUCAGUGCAAUGGUUAUUUAGACCCAGGAGGUUGUGAACCGGAUGUCAGCUGUUGGAACUAAAGGGCAUUUGAGCUUUUGGACAGCUUAGCCCAGCAGAACUCAUUUCAUACCAUUGGCGUUGAACAGAUUGACAGCCUGCAUGGAAUGGGGACUAAAAUAAAGCUCUCGCGCCUUUUCACUGGAAGAUCCAAAUCCAAAGUUUGCAGCUGGGCAUGGUCCUGAGCUGAGUGCUUGAAUGGGAGAUGGCAGGAGAAGCAUUCCUUGCCUUCCUGCUCAGUGACUCAUUUGCACCAAAAGGAAGAAUAAAGCCUGGUCUGUUGUUCCAAAAAAGCAUCUUCCACAAAGCCACAGCUUCCACCAGUUCCAGCCCUGCAGAAGUAAUCACUUUACAGAAGCUAAUAAAGAAUGGAUUAAGCUACAGCUUUGAAGAACUCAUCUCAAAAGGACCCUGAAACCACUGUCUAAAAGCAAUAUUAUCAGCAUUAGAAGCUGAAAAAUUACACCAACAGAUCUAGUUGUUUCUCAAACCCGUAUGAACUUGUGAGAACUGCAGCAUUGCACAACAAGUGCUUCUGCAACUUCUGCUUGCUUAAAGGGAAGAAGUCCAAGUGAUGCUGUAUGCUAGAACAGAUGUCAAGUGUAUGCAUCAGCAGAUUUAUCCAGACAUCCGUCAUCCCGAGCAGGAUGACUGGUGGUGACCUGAGGCCUGACAUCUGCCUGCUGCAGUGCAACUGAAAGACAUCAGCUUUCUUUGAGGAUGUGGAGACCACCUGAGCAGACCUGAAAUUACGAAGACAGGUGUCUGAGGCUUAACAGAUGAAAACCAAUUGCUGAAAAUAAAGGUCAGACCAUGGUAGAAAAGAGGUGACCUCUUUCUCAGCUCAGUUCACCAACAAUAUCUAUGGGAAACAGCUGUGACAGUUCCCUUCAGCACAAUAUCCACAGGUCCAAGCUGUUAUAACUGUAGUUAGUCUGCCUGGGCUACUGCUAUCUGCAAUGCUCUUCAUAGAAGUAAGCAUUCUGCCUGAGACUGAGCCAUGAGUGCAGUAAUUUUGGGCAAAUGUUGCAAAACUCAGAAGCAGGUAGGUAAGAAAUUUUCAUUUUUGUCUUCUUUUUCCUGUAAAGAUUAAUGAAUGUGUACAUUUUUAUUGUUUUAGGAAAGAGUCAUUAUAUAUAUAAUUGAAGUUUAAAUCUUCCUUAAAUUUAAUCUUAAUUGUAUUUGAGACUAUGGGCUUUAAGCAUUGCUCAACAAUCACCUCUCAUUUAAGUAAAUUGAAAAAGGUCGUGAUUCAUUGGUGUUGAAGAAUUAAGAGUGAUGUUAAUUAUUAAGUAAUUGUAGUUAUGGAAAUCAGGCUAUUCUCUAUAUCAACCUGAAACAAGAUUUUUUCAUUCUAGCCAAAGAGCAAGAUCUUUAAAUUGUCAAAUCAAAAAUCUCUUUCAGGAAUGGAGAUCUUAUCUGGACAGCGUCAGAUUAAAACAACAUAGCUGCUUUCUCCAGUUGACAAAUGCAAGAUUAUUCACAGCUGAUUCUUAGUCAGCUUCAUGAGUUGAAUAUCUGCCCUCUGUGCAUAAUAAGAUAUAUGGAUGAUCAAAGCAAUUAUAGUUUCUCUUUUAUCAUUUUAUUAAUUGAAUAUCAGUUAUUAUUUGAAUGUUGUUUUUAUUUCCUGUUAAUUAAUGAAGUUAGGUUUACUUGUAGUUAUAUGUUCAUUUAAACUUAAUCAGGUUAGUAAAUACGAUGGCAAAAUCUACUUCCCCUUUUCCCAGCUCAAAAUCAUGAGAUGUGAACAAUCGUUAUUACUUGAAAGGUGAUUCAGCCUCUGGGUAAGCAAAGCCGUUAUCGGGCCCUUCUGAUCUGCCUUACUUUUCUUGCUUUGCUACAGAAGCAGAAGUCAGAUGGGGAAAGCUGAAUGUGCAUGAGUCUCCCUUUUGCCAUUAAUUUUUGGGAAGACUUGCAUGUUUUAGCUGCUCUUUGUGCCUUUGAAAGCAUCAUUCAAACAGCUUCUUAAUUAAAAUGGAGAAUCAGGCAAUAAAACAUUGUAAUCAGUGCCUCCGUUCGUGAUGUGUCUGAGGUGAUACGUGCUUUGUGUUCAUAGACAAUAGAACUUUGAAAACCAACAAAACAGCAGAAAAUGUUAUUUAUUUUUCUGUCCUGCUCAGUGACCUUUGCUAUUGGUGGAGCCUCUGAAGUCUGGCAGAGAAAAUGAAAUCCAGGUCUAGUGUGGCUAAUAUUCAACUCAACAGCAAAAGAUAGAUUUUACAUUCCUCUUUUCUUUAUGCAAAGGCUGUUUGUUGAGUUGACAUUGUGAAAUCAGUCUGGCUAGUUGUGAAUGAUGUAUGAAAGAGGAAAAAAUCCUGCCCAGAGCCCAAAUAAACAGGUGCUGCAGUAAGACCAAGGUAGUUGUGCUAAGCUAUCCUAUUUGCUGUGUCUGAGGCUGGAGGCAUUUCUGGUGGUCACCUGGCCAACCCCUGUCCCAGCAGUCACAUAGUUAGCUCAUGUCUUUACGUGUCCAAGAGUCUAUUAGUUUAGAUUUUGCUCAGAGAACAAGUAGGUAACGUAGAUGUGACUAAAAUUCAAAAUUCCACCAAUUUAUUCCUUCUCCCUUAGUAUUUUUCUCUAAAGAUGGGAGUAUUUGAAUAAUUACAUUAAUUGUUUUAUUUUAGCUGUAAUUCUAAUUAUAGCCUUAAUCUUCUUGAGGAGAAAUAACUAGGAGGUAGAUCAAAUUAUUAUUUAAAAUUGAAUGUACAAAACUUUGUAGUCAAUGCGGAAUUUUUCUCAUUUCAGACAUGAAUUUGACUUAAAAUCACCUUAAAUAAACAUAAUCAAUAUUCACUCUUUAUAUCUUGUUAUAUACAUUACUAUUUUAAUGUUUUUCCAUCCCUGGAGGUUUUCAAGGACGGUUGGAUGAGGCCCUGGGCAGCCUGUUCAAGUAUUAGAUAUGGAGAUUGGUGGCCCUGCCUGAGGCAGAGAGAUUGGAACUUCAUGAUCCUUGAGGUCCCAUUCAACCCAAGCCAUUCUGUGGUUCUAUAAUUCUAUGAUUUUUAGGAUUCAAAGCUUGCUUGGACUUCCACAUACCCUUUAUCCGUGAUGAAGGUCAAAUGACCCUCAGCAGGUCAUCAGAAAGGAAUCAUCAAGACAAGUGGAAGAUAUUUCACGCAGGAGUAACACUGCUUAAAAUGAUGCUCCGUUCUUUUUGCUGAAGUACAAUGAAGGUAAAACAGUGAAUCACUGAAGUCCAGGACAAGUGAAUUGCAACUUUGGAUUCUGAACAACCUAAUCUUAAUGUCAUUCAUCGAUCAUGAUAAGUAAUAUCUUGGUACUGUAUACAUCAGCAAAAUUUGUAGAUUACUACUUAUUACAGACAUUGAAAUGCCCAUUUUGAUACAUUUUUCAUAGGUAUAUACAUGCCUCUUGUGGAUUUUAUUUAUUCACACCUUCUGUCAGUGUAAUUGUGCCGUAGUUAAAGUACUUGUUUUUCCUUCAUUCUUAUCCAGCUCAAUAGAUCAUGAAGGUUAAAGUAACCUUAAGCUACGUUUUACAAUUCUUUCUAGUACAUAAUUAAACAUUAAAAAAAUCGACAUUUUAAAAGGUAGCAACAUUCAUUUUACUACUGGAACAGAUGCAACAUGAAUUUAUUUAGUUCUAAAGACUGCUCUUAUCGAUGCCUAAUUCAUUUCUUCACAAUGCAGAAAGAUAGAGAAGUACACUUUUCUCAAGGUUACAACCACCCUAAUUCGUUCCAGGUUUCUGACUUACAAGAAGUUACACUUGCACAUUCAGUGAUUGAUCACAAUUUGCCAGAACAAGAUAGAAUUCCCCAUCCAUUCCUCGAUUAUGAUUUUUAAAUGGAUUACAUAGUAUAAUCUGAUAUGUACAUACUGCUCUUACAUUUCAAGAGAAUCAAAUACAGGCACUUUAAAGACAUUAAAGUCUACAUCUUGGCUUAUACAAAUAACUUCUUCAAAUAUCAUGCUCCUCACACAUUAGAAGUGAAUUUUCUUCAAUUUAUUCCUUCAAUAAUUGUCUCUAGAAGUUAAGUGAAAUCCAAACUGAAAGCUCAUGAUUUAUAUGUUGUAUGUUGGCAUUGUUUGUCAGUAUCUGUUUCAGCGCCCUCACUGCCUCUGCUUUUAUGGUGCCAAACUUCAGCUUAACUUUUGUCCUGUGUAUUGGUGUUUCUGAAAAUAUUGCUAGAAUGAAAAACUGAGAUCAGUCACAAUGAGUCUACAUGCUAGAGGAUAGUCAGAGAUCUGUACUUAAGUUCCUUUUUUUACCAAUGCAUGUUUUAUGUUUGUAUGUAUUUCAUGGUGCAUUUCUCUGUUGUGCCUAUCAAUAGAGUACUUCAAACCGGGACUAUGUGUGCUGGUUGGGAUCACACCACUGAAUAACACUGGGUAAAGACUCCUCAAAGAAUACAAGAAUUGUCAGAAGAAGGAUGGUUUGAUGGAUGGAGUAUCAAAUCUAGAUGAGAGCAGAACUGGGAAGCAAGGGAAAAGAAAUCUUAUAGCAAGCGUUCAGGAAAGAACAUUAUUUAUCACAAUGAAAAGGAAAAUAGCUAUGAAAAAUGAGAUGAAAUUAGGAAAGAAAAAUGGUACUCUGCAACCAUUCUUGCUGUAGCUAAAGAUAUUUCAUUUUUUCCUAUUAUUAGUCAGGAACAGUCUAUGUUCAUUUUAAAUGUAUAAUUAUUUUUGUUAUAAUAGUUUUGUAUUUUAUUGCGUCAUCUCCUUUACAGAACACACAGAAUAUCAUAACAGGACUCUUCAAUGCCCUGGAUGAACAAUAUAUUUACAGGAUGGGAAAGUGUAGAUGUCUGCCUUUCCUCCUUUGAAUGGCACUACUGCCUGUGUACUGAAUAAGCAGGGCUGACGGGGUUCACAUUAAUAGACCUUCCUUUUAGAGAGAGUAGUUGUGUGUAUUUCUGAUAAACAAUUAAAGAAGCUGUUUGCCAAGUAUUUCACUGUGCAAUAAUAGAUAGUGAAGGUGGAAGGACUGGAAAAUGACAAAGCGUUUAUCAUGUAGUGAGAAAGCCUAUGUGGUUCAAGAGGAGGAAAUAAUUGCUCCUUUUCUUUCAGCAUUUAUUCAAGUCAAAUGCAUCAAUGGAUGUUGCUGUAAAAGAGAGGUGCCUGCUUUGUUUAGGUAGGACAGAGGAACCCAACAAUACUAUGGAGCAAAAUGAGAAAUAUUAAAUAUGAAAACACUAAUGAGCUCUGGGUUAGUGAAUUGUGUGCAGAACUGUAUUUACUGUCCAACAGUUUUUUUUUGCAUUGAAUAUAUUGACUGCUUGUCUGUAUCUGGAACUUAACGUUUUCCAGAUGGUACUUAAUAUAUCCUUAUUUAUUCCUCCUCAUCCAACAUUUUGACUUGAAAUGGAAAAACAAGCCUGAUGAUCUCCAAGCUGAAGGUGUGGUGGACCACUAUACUGCCUUGGCUGAUGUUCCUGUUAUUCUGAGUCCUUUUGUGGCUUUUGAAAAUCCAGAAUAAAGUUAAGUAAGCAAGAGACUUGACAGCCCACAUCAGAGCUGCCAACUCCAGCAAUGAGCCAGAUUUAGAAGCUGUUAUAUGAAGAAUCUACAGGACAUGAGAUUUAAAUGGUUUCUCUGAAUAAGUACCUUCUAAACUAGCAUCAGGGAGAUUGGACGACAGCAGCGAUACGUCAGAUGGCUUCAGUGUGCUCCCCAGCUGAGUGCUUUUCUUCUUCACCUGAGUUAUUGCUUCAUACUUUGAGAUGGUGCUUAGCCUAACUUAUAUCCCAAUUGUGUUGUUUUUCAUACCUUAAAAAAGAAAGAAAGAAAGAAAAAGUUUUAAAAAAUGUGAAUAGGGAAAAAUCUUCUCAGAAAGAGUGAUUAGACACUGGGAUAGGCUGCCUAGGGAGGUGGUGGAGUUGCUGCCCCUGGAGGUGUUCAUGAAAUGUGUAGAUAUUGUACUUAGGGACAUCGUUUAAUGGGCAAUAUUGGUGGUAGGUGGAUGGUUGGACUUGGUUAUCUUGGAGGUCUUUUCCAACCUUUAUGAUUCUAUGAAAUAACCCAUAUGGAUUAAAAGCCUUGUAAACAAAAAUCAGAUUAUUUUUGUCUUAUAAUCAGUGAAAUCUGUCCAUUGAUGUUAGAUGCAGCUUGUUCAGGUAAUCUGACCCACAAGGUCUGCUGGAGACUGGGAGAUUAUUGUAUGAAAGUUUAAUGAGAAGGCUAUUUAAUUUUUUUAAUUAUUAUUAUUGGCAUCUAUUGGCCACUUGACUUGUUGGCUUAUUCUACCUGAGUCAUUACAACCUUUGCCUUAUAAAAUUUUCCAUUUGAUGGUGGUGUUGUUUUUAAUGAAUAUCCAUUAAACUGAAUUUUGUAUAAUUUUAGCACAUUUAUAUGCAUGCAAAUAUGUACAUGUAGAUGAAUUUUUACUAUAAGAUAAAUGAAAUGUGAAAUUGCAUUGUACAGACAAACAUGGCUCAUUUUUGUAGGGAAGGGAUUGCUUUAAACUGUGAAGAGCAUUUGUUUUUCAAAAUAUAGCAAAUUCUCCUCUCAUUUCCAAGAGAAGAAUAAAAUAAGUGGGCAGUAUAUGACGGGACCUUCCAGUAAUGAGAUUGUUUUCCUCUUCCACUCAGACCUAUUAGCGUUAAACCAUACACUGCACCUUUUCAAUUGCCAGACUGAUUGAAUAAUGCAAAAUUUGAUACAAGCACUCUACAUUGCUUAAUCUCCUUGUUUCUCUUCUAAUUCCUGAAGAUGAGAGAUGCUGUGUUUAUUGCCAAGUUUAUAGCCAAUUUAACCCUGUGAAGAACAACUGGAUGAGAUAUCUGCAGUGUGUGCACAUGGGAGUUACAAUAUCUUCAUAUGCAAGAUUUUCUAUAAAAAUCUGCUGGUGAACCUUGCAAUAUAUCUCCUGCACCCAGAUGGCAGUAACAUGCUCUUUAUAACUGAGAACAGUGCUUUGGCUCAUAGGUUCAGUAUUCUUGAAUAUAUUUAUUAAGAUUAUGCAAGCUACUAAAACACAAACAUCACCCACAAACUAAUAAUUGUAAGACAGCUUAAUGAUCUUGUAAGGGCUCAGUUAAAUACAGCUGUGUAUUUUCAUCCCACAGAAGUGGAAUAGUUUUGUGAGUCCAAUUUAUUAUUUUGUCUAUUUUUAAGUGGAAGAACUUUCUAAUGUUUGGGGUGGUAAUCUAUCCUUGUGGGAUUUAGGUUUAAUUAUCUACUUUUCAACAGGAUUUCUUUUAUCAUCUCAAGUAAUUUAGCUCAUAUCCACACUAAGCUUGUGUCUAUUUGGUUUUGGAGAUCUCAGUUUUAAUGGGUGGCAUAGGUGCCCAGGUAAGGAAGAAAAUAUUUUCAAACCUUUGAAGUGCUGAAUACCUAUGAAAUAUCAUUGUGUCAUCAGCAUCCUGGCAUUUGGGAGGUGUCGAGAUAGUUUCUAAUGGAAAUUUGAAGUUGUUAACUGUAUUAUUUCACAUCUAGGAGAAGAAACCUGGUGAUGACAAAAAUAAAGGCUGUAUUUUAUUUGUUGUCUAUAUUUUUCAUUUGAGAAGUAGCAGGGAGAUGGCUGUAGCCUUGCCUUCACCGUAGGCAAUGAUUAAUCCUUCAGCUGUACCAAGGUCUUGCAUCCAGACUGCAAGAAAACUUGGGACCUGUCAGAGGAGUGCCAGGAGCUGCACUGUUGCGCAGCCAUCUGGGUUUGCUUUGGCUAAUUGCAACACUCCCAAUCAGAUUGCAAGAAAAUUCCUUGCUCUUGGCUUCUUGUAAUGGGAAUCUAGGUAAUGCAUUGUUUGGCUUGCAAAGCAUUUAGAAAUACUCAAGUACACUGUGUUGGUAAUGAGAGUAUUCUGUAUUUCCAAGGGGCUGGAUGUUGAAGAUAGGAUCAACUAUUAGUAUUACAUGCAAAUAGAUUCUCUGAAAAUAGAAAGACCUUCAGUUGACUACUUUGGCAGCCAGUUUGCCUCUGAGCCCAAUAUCACGUUGAACAACCCUUUAAAAUUCAGUUGUGUUUGUAUAUUUUAAGCCAUUUUCAGAGAAUAAAGCGACAAUUGUGUUCCCUGUUGGGGACUUUGAUUUGCAAUGGUCAUUUUAGGCAACCGUAUGCUAUAGCUGCUUGAAAAACUCAUAUAUUGUGCCAGUUCAGUCAGGUACUUCUAAAAUGAAAUAUAGAAUCUUCUAUUUCAUAGGUUUGGCACCAAAAUCACCAAAAUUACUUAUAAAAAAAAAUCUGAAUACUAUUGCUUGAAUAUUCAUUUUCCCACCUGGAGCAUAAUGAAGAUUCAAGAAUUUGGACAGGGUGAUAAGUAGUUUAAAAACUGUGUAAGAUGGGCAAACAGAAUGUUUCUUCUUGACCAUUAUAGACAAUCAGUAAUAGCACAGCUCUAUAUUCCUAGCAAGCAAUAAUGUAACAUGGGUGUUUUACACAUAAGCUGGGAAACUCGCACUACUUGCUACCAUGAUAUGAUUCAUGGCUGAGUUAAUCAGUGCUAAGUGUCAUGGAUAAAGGGAGAAAUGGCUUUUUUCCUCUUACAGGGUCCUUGAGGGCAUGGAGAGACCCUCGAUGACAGGGUGGGAUUGUUUUUUCUUCACUUCACCGUUGCAGGCAGACAGCUGGGAGGACCAAGGAAGAGCUCUUGUUCUUUUGCCUGCUUGGAGGAGAAAGUCAUUAAGUGGAUUAUCUCACCGGAUAAAGGUAUGAAGGUAAGAGGAAGAAUGGUCAGAAGCCCUCCCACUGCUGUGGUCCUUCUGGUGAUGCCCUCAGCCAUCGCAUGCAGGAUCCAUACAAAAGGUGAUUCCACGGUAAUAUAUUCUGUGCUAGUUUCUGGCAGGAAACAAUAGAUGCAAUGUGGGAGCUUAAAGAAGAGAGAUGCUGGGAAGACAUCAUACCUUUUCUGACUGUUCCAUAUCACAUCACUCUGUUUGGAGAUACUGUGUUUCAUCUCCUACAAAGUAAAUUGCUGGCUGACAGCUGGAACCACCUCUACUAUAAAUUAUUGCACUCACAAGCAAGUUGGAUAUCUACCAUAGGAUCAUCAAACACAGAGGAGUGGCAGUUUCUCUUUGCAGUCGAGGCGCCAGAUCCCAACAUGCCAGAGGUUGUGCUGAAAAUCAGGACUUGGGGCUCUUCCUUUGCUGAGAAGAUAAAGUGGCAACUCUUGUGAAAUCCCACCCCUGCUUCACCAGCUGAAUGAAGUCCAAAAACUUGAUGCUUCAAACAUUUCACAGAGAUGGAAAAAAUACGAGAGCCAAAAAGAUUGUUAAAAAGAAUCCACAGUGAGGAAGACGGGAAUGCUAUCUGUGGUUCUCAUAUGAGGAAGAGCAAGCUAGGUCCAGCAUGAAGCUCCAAAACUUCUAAACCCUGCAGAUAGAUGGUCUUCAGAAUAUGCAGUGGAGUUUAUCCAGUUUAACUCAGCCCAGCUGAUGCCAGCAGGUGGAGUUUCGCUGUGAGGUUUGUAAAGCUGCACCAUUCCCACUGGUCACUGAGGUCCUAACCAGUGCACUGCUGUGUGCAUGAAGUCCUGCUCUUAUCUGCUCAGUCUGGUAACUGAAAGUGCAAAGUGGCAAUUAGGUUCACCAUUAGCCCAUCAGCAAGUGCACAUUCAGGAUCAGAUCUACGUUUUGCAUGCCCAAGGCUGAGAGGUGCCAAUGGCUCUCCGUUACUGCUGGACAAGCAGUUAUGAAAAGUUGGCAUCCACAUAGAUCCGUGGCCGUGACAUGAGGAAACCUCCGCCACUUUGGCAAACAGCAUGCAAGUCCAGCAUAGGCCAUGGACCUUGUACAAUUGGGCUUUUAUCCCUGCUAAACUCUUAUUCUUCAGGUGGAUAAUUGUAUUGUCCUCAUCGGGAUUGUAACGGGGCUACCAGAUGAAUAUCCAGCUGCUUCCAUCCCUUUGAAGGAACAGUACACAAACCUGCAGCCUUAGCUCCCACCCUUACUACGGAAGGGGCUCAGCAUUCAGUCUGUAGGCAUAGCAGCAGAUUGGCAAGGUGACAUAACAACUAUUUGCAAGUCUACGUGCUGUCUGAAGUUACCAAAGUAAAUUGCACAGCAGUCUGCUUGGUAGUCCCUAAGAAGAUAAAGUGGUCAGUGCUGCUCUGCUUUGAAAAUAUCAGCCCUGCUUUGUGCAGAAUAUUGCAGACUGGCUGAAAUGUUGCCCAAGCAACAUCCACUCUUCAGCUGUACUUCUCACAGUGGCUUAAGCUGAAGAAGGAACAAGACCCAAGGAAGUGUUUGGAAAUCUCUCUUGCAUCCUCCCAGUCUGAGACCAACCAGAGCAGCUCCUGUUUGCAUUGGAUUUGUACAUCGUUGUCAUUGGAAGAAGAAACAUUCCAGUGUGAGAGGGAUCCUCAGCUGGCAAAGCUGUAUCUAGCAGAGGGCUUUGAACAAGCCCCGUGCAACUGAGAAAGAUGUUGGCUGAAAUGAACUGGAGGUCUUCCUCUUUAAUAUGGAUGUUAUGCUUGGUGCCAUGCAGACAGCGCUGGCAGGAGGACGAUUUCAGUCUCUGCUACAUCAAUAAAAACAAGGGGUUGUUUAAACUUGGCGUUGACACAAAUAAAAUAAAAACUGAGC